ACUUGGCUGGCUUAGUUGGUAGAGCAUAUGAUUCUAAAUCUCAGGGUUGUGAGUUCAAGCCCCAUGUUGAGGG
rnacentral:tRNA from 1 species